UGGUUAGGGAGAUGGAGACCAGUAAUGUAGAGGUUAGGGAGAUGGGAACAGAAGAGAAGGUGCGGGUGGAGACCAGUAAUGUCGAGGUUAGGGAGAUGGAGACCAGUAAUGUCGAGGUUAGGGAGAUGGAGACCAGUAAUGUCGAGGUUAGGGAGAUGGAGACCAGUAAUGUCGAGGUUAGGGAGAUGGAGACCAGUAAUGUCGAGGUUAGGGAGAUGGAGACCAGUAAUGACGAGGUUAGGGAGAUGGAGACCAGUAAUGUAGAGGUUAGGGAGAUGGAGACCAGUAAUGUAGAGGUUAGGGAGAUGGAGACCAGUAAUGUAGAGGUUAGGGAGAUGGGAACAAAAGAGAAGGGGGGUGGA